rnacentral:rRNA from 1 species
GCCUGAUGCAGCGACGCCGCGUGAGGGAUGACGGCCUUCGGGUUGUAAACCUCUUUCAGUAGGGAAGAAGCGAAAGUGACGGUACCUGCAGAAGAAGCACCGGCUAACUACGUGCCAGCAGCCGCGGUAAUACGUAGGGUGCGAGCGUUAUCCGGAAUUAUUGGGCGUAAAGAGCUCGUAGGCGGUUUGUCGCGUCUGUCGUGAAAGUCCGGGGCUUAACCCCGGAUCUGCGGUGGGUACGGGCAGACUAGAGUGCAGUAGGGGAGACUGGAAUUCCUGGUGUAGCGGUGGAAUGCGCAGAUAUCAGGAGGAACACCGAUGGCGAAGGCAGGUCUCUGGGCUGUAACUGACGCUGAGGAGCGAAAGCAUGGGGAGCGAACAGGAUUAGAUACCCUGGUAGUCCAUGCCGUAAACGUUGGGCACUAGGUGUGGGGACCAUUCCACGGUUUCCGCGCCGCAGCUAACGCAUUAAGUGCCCCGCCUGGGGAGUACGGCCGCAAGGCUAAAACUCAAAGGAAUUGACGG